AAAGGAAGGGAAGGGAACGGCCCCGCCCCGCCCCGCCCCCGCGCCGCGGGGCGCUCCAAGAUGGAGGCGGGCGGCGGGCAGCGCCCGGGCCCCGCCCCGCUUAUCUCAUCCCGCCUUCCUCCUCCUCCUCCUCCUCCUCCCUCUCCCUGCUCCCCCCCUCCUCCUCCUUCUUCUUCCUCUUCCUCCUGCCGCCGGGCGAGGAGCCGCGGCCGCCGCUUCGCCGAGCGAGGAUGAGGAGGGCAGCGCCGAGGGGAGGAAGAAGUACGUUGUAUGGAGCACACCUUUUGCACACCUUUUUCCAGAUGAUGCAGAGAUGCUGUUUGAUUGCUCCCGGUACAGAGCUGGUAACUGCAUCUUCCAGAGAAAUAAAAGUCCAAGCAAUUAAUGAAGUAUGCAUGGAGGCAGUGGUAAAAGACCAAAUGUAG
rnacentral:lncRNA from 1 species